GAGGCGCACCUGUGAGGUGUCCCUGAGGAGAGGGAGGUGGGUGCGCGGCGCCCGCGGCCUGGGGCGCUGAGUCCCUUCACUUGGAGUGAGUUCUCGGCGGCCGGGCUGCAGUCUUUCUUUCUUUCCCGGAGGGGGCUAGGGGCCGGGGGCCGGGGAGCGGGCUGGGGGUGGGAAGGAGGCGGAGUGGAUUAAAGAAAAGAAAAACAACCCAUCCCGGAGGAUGGGCCUCGGGCCGGCCCGGCCCUUGGGGAUGGCGGGGAAGGUCAGAGCGGCUCCGCGCAGCCGGGCGGGCCCCAGGCUGAGAAGCCGCCCCUCGGGCCUCGGGCGGUCGGCCGCGGGCCCGCAGUGCGGGGGAGCGGGGCCGGGGGGCGCAGAUGGCGGCGGGCGCGAGCGAGGGCUGGGCAGCGGGCAGGGCGAGGCCCCGCGGGAGCCGGACUCCCGAGCCAGGCUCCAUUGUUGUUGGAGCCGAGAAGGGGGAGCGCGGCCGCCCUCGUCGCCCGUGGAGCCGCGCCUUGGAGCCCUUCCAGGCGGGUCCCUGGAGAGGCGGUCAUGGCCGCGCCAGGGGACCGGGGAGCCGGGCGGCUGCGGAGGAGCCGGCUGCAUGGGGUGCUGUGUGUUUUUCAGGGCACCCUGCGUCCGGCAGAGGAGGCGAGCAUCCCGCUCAGGUGAUGAGGAACCCCUCGCGCACCCAGCGCAGAAGGCUGCUGCGGCCGGACGCCUCCAUUGUUUGACCACAAGGGCCGGAUUCUCACCCAGGAUCCUAAGGCCUUUGUAGCCCUUCAGCCACUGUGGGCCCUGCCUCUGCCUGUUCUUCUGGAAUGUCUUGGGGGUUUUGAUCCUGUCAUUGUGGUAAGUUUUCCCUUUGUUUCACCAUUUGUCCUGGAUGGAGAAUCCCCCUUGAGUAUUUUAAGCCAAAGCUGUCUCUAGAAUUUUUUCUGAGCAUGUGCCCUUUGGGGCUUAAUAAGGAAGCAGCUCUCCAUGUCUCACACUCUUCCUGACCUCUCGUCUUUAUCUGGCAUUGAAUUCCUCAGAUCUUGGACCACCUUCCUUACUCUGAAGAUAUCAGAAACAUUUUUGUCCAUCUCCUCAGAAUCUUCAUUUUCUUAUUUCCAUGGGAACUAUUGGUUAUUAAAACUUUGUUUCACUUGUCCCAUUUUCCUCUGCCAUCUUGGAGGCCUUACAUGGAUUCUAGAUCUCAU
rnacentral:lncRNA from 1 species